rnacentral:misc_RNA from 1 species
AGGAAUACAUUGCGGCGAUCCGAGAAGGCGGCGUCAAGAUCGUCGAAACAGCGGGCCGCAGCCCCGAGCAAUAUAUGCCGGCGUUGAAAGCGGGAGGGAUCAAGGUGAUCCAUAAGUGCACCUCGGUCCGUCACGCGCUGAGGGCCGAGCAGAUCGGCUGUGAUGCCGUCAGUGUGGACGGCUUUGAAUGCGGCGGUCAUCCCGGCGAGGAUGAUAUGCCCAACAUGAUCUUGCUACCUCG